UGCUAUAGAAGCUGAAAGAUUUAGUGUUGGUCUUGUAAACCAAAGGUUGGAAACAAAAACUUCCCAUAGCAU
rnacentral:tRNA from 1 species